rnacentral:rRNA from 1 species
AUUGAACGCUGGCGGCAUGCUUUACACAUGCAAGUCGAACGGCAGCGCGGGCUUCGGCCUGGCGGCGAGUGGAGAACGGGUGAGUAAUGCAUCGGAACGUGCCCAGUAGUGGGGGAUAGCCCGGCGAAAGCCGGAUUAAUACCGCAUACGACCUGAGGGUGAAAGCGGGGGACCGAAAGGCCUCGCGCUAUUGGAGCGGCCGAUGUCGGAUUAGCUAGUUGGUGGGGUAAAGGCUUACAAAGGCGACGAUCCGUAUGGGGUCGGAGGGGACGACCAGCCACACGGGGACUGAGACACGGCCCAGACUCCUACGGGAGGCAGCAGUGGGGAAUUUGGGACAAGGGGGGCAACCCUGACCCAGCCAGGCGGCGUGCGGGAAGAAGGCCUUCGGGUGGUAAACCGCUUUUGUUCGGGAAGAAAUCCUCUGGGCUAAUACCCCGGGGGGAGGACGGGACCUGAAGAAUAAGCACCGGCUAACUACGG